AACAGUAGUUAGGGUGUAUACAUUUGUGCAAGUAAGUGUUCGUUCAUGCUUAAAGGAGGAUGAGAACAACCUUUAUGGCGAAUAAUGUGUGUGGUUGUUGAAUCUAGGUUGCUUUGACCUACCACAAAGGGUUUGUUGAUGAUUGUUUACGGUGGUGCGGGAGGGGUGUUCCUGAACAGUCUUUGGGGGGUGUGCCUAAGGAACUGGAAUCAGACAUUCGUGUUAGUCGGAGGUGUUUGUACGUAUAUCAGAGGAGAUAAAGUAGUCGUCGGAGUGAAAUAGCUAUGGAAAUUGAUGAAGAAAGGGAAGAUGCAACAAUUGAUUUUGGGGAAAGUGGAAGACAUUCUGAUGGAUCAAAUGAGAGAAUGCAUGAUUUGGGAGAGGAUGAAAAUAUGUAUGGAGAAGUUGAGGUUGACAAUGGUGGUAUUGAUGAUGUUGAGGUGGCAGUGUUGAAGUUCAAUUUGAUGUUGGUUUGGAACAUGGUAUUGAAGGAGGUAAGUGAAUAUACAUUAACAACUUUGUUGAUGUAAUAAAACAUUGACAUGAAGAAUAUACUGAGUGAUGAUGUUGAAAGGUUUCAUUUUUGCGAUCUUGAGGUCGCAUACCUGUUCUAUUAUUGGUAUGGUAGAUUGAAUGGCUCUUGUGUGCCGAAGCAAGGUUUUAAAAAAGUGUAAGGGUGAAAAAACUCAGCAGACAUUUGUUUGUUCUAGGAAAAGGUUGUAGAGAAGAUAGGGGGCUAGAGUCACGUAAACGGGAACCCACAAAUGAUGUUAGGCGUGAUUGUGAUGCAAGAUUUCGUGUUCACCUUCAAGCAAAUGGAGAUGGCAUGUAUCUGUAUUCUUUUUUAUGAAUACAAGCAUGAGCUAU